GACCACCCCCCAAGGCUAAAUACUACUUAGUGACCGAUAGCGCAUAGUACUGUGAAGGAAAGGUGAAAAGAACCCCGGGAGGGGAGUGAAAGAGAACCUGAAACCCUGUGUUUACAAGCUGUGGAACACCGUUAUGGUGAACCGCGUACUUUUUGUAGAACGGUCCGGCGAGUUACGCUUACUGGUAAGGUUAAGCACUAAAGGUGCGGAGCCGAAGGGAAACCAAGUCUUAACAGGGCGCCAAAAUCAGUAGGAGUAGACCCGAAACCGGGUGACCUAUCCAUGUCCAGGUUGAAGAUGCCGUAAAAGGCAUUGGAGGACCGAACGCACAUCCGUUGAAAAGGGUGGCGAUGAGGUGUGGAUAGCGGAGAAAUUCCAAUCGAACCCGGAGAUAGCUGGUUCUCCUCGAAAUAGCUUUAGGGCUAGCCUCAUACAAGUCAUGCGGAGGUAGAGCACUGAAUUUCCUAGGGGGCGUCAAAGCUUACCAAAGAAUAUCAAACUCCGAAUGCCGUAGAGAUGAUGUAUGGGAGUCAGACUGCACGAGAUAAGUUGGGUAGUCAAAAGGGAAAGAGCCCAGACCUACAGCUAAGGUCCCAAAGUGUGUGUUAAGUGGAAAAGGAUGUGAGAUUUCAGAGACAACCAGGAUGUUGGCUUAGAAGCAGCCAUACAUUAAAAGAGUGCGUAACAGCUCACUGGUCGAGAGGUCUUGCGCCGAAAAUGUCCGGGGCUAAAACACAACACCGAAGCUUAGGAAUCACAGUAAUGUGAUUGGUAGAGGAGCAUUCUUAAAUGCAAAGAAGCUGUACCGUAAGGAGCAGUGGAGCGUUAAGAAGAGAGAAUGCCGGAAUGAGUAGCGAGAUAGAAGUGAGAAUCUUCUAGGCCGAAUAUCCAAGGAUUCCAGGGUAAAGCUGAUCUGCCCUGGGUAAGUCGGGGCCUAAGGCGAGGUCGAAAGACGUAGUCGAUGGACAACAGGUGGAAAUUCCUGUACUACAAUAUAACAGAACUGUGGGGACGCAGAAAGAGAGCACAAGCCGGGAAUGGAAAGACCGGUACAAGCGGGGUAUCCGCUGGGCAGGCAAAUCCGCCCAGCAAGGAGAAGACGUAAAGUGGACCGAACUAAAAGUAGGGAAGUGUGUGAGCUGGCUGCCAAGAAAAGCCGCUAUUGAUUAUAUUGUACCCGUACCGUAAACCGACACAGGUGGAUGAGGAGAGAAUCCUAAGGCCGACGGGAGAAGCAUUGUUAAGGAACUCGGCAAAAUAACCCCGUAACUUCGGGAGAAGGGGUGCCUGCGAAAGCAGGCCGCAGAGAAUUGGCCCAAGCAACUGUUUAGCAAAAACACAGGUCUAUGCAAAACCGAAAGGUGAGGUAUAUGGGCUGACGCCUGCCCGGUGCUGGAAGGUUAAGGGGAGAAGUUAGCGCAAGCGAAGCUUUGAACUUAAGCCCCAGUAAACGGCGGCCGUAACUAUAACGGUCCUAAGGUAGCGAAAUUCCUUGUCGGGUAAGUUCCGACCCGCACGAAAGGCGUAAUGAUUUGGGCACUGUCUCGACAAUGCACCCGGUGAAAUUGAAGUACCAGUGAAGAUGCUGGUUACCCGUGCCAGGACGGAAAGACCCCAUGGAGCUUUACUCCAGUUUGAUACUGGGAUUCGGUACUGCAUGUACAGGAUAGGCGGGAGACGAAGAAGUAGUGACGCCAGUCACUACGGAGUCAUUGUUGGGAUACCGCCCUUGUAGUAUUGGAUUUCUAACUAGCAGCCGUAAACCGGCUGGAGGACAAUGUCAGGCGGGGAGUUUGACUGGGGCGGUCGCCUCCGAAAGAGUAUCGGAGGCGCUCAAAGGUUCCCUCAGAAUGGUUGGAAACCAUUCGCAGAGUGCAAAGGCAAAAGGGAGCUUGACUGUGACACCGACGGGUGGAGCAGGUAGGAA
rnacentral:rRNA from 1 species